UACGUAGGGUGCGAGCGUUGUCCGGAAUUAUUGGGCGUAAAGAGCUCGUAGGCGGCCUGUCGCGUCGGUUGUGAAAGCCCGGGGCUUAACCCCGGGUCUGCAGUCGAUACGGGCAGGCUAGAGUACAGAAGGGGCAACUGGAAUUCUCGGUGUAGCGGUGAAAUGCGUAGAUAUCGAGAGGAACACCUGCGGCGAAGGCGGGUUGCUGGGCUGAUACUGACGCUGAUGCGCGAAAGCCAGGGGAGCAAACAGG
rnacentral:rRNA from 1 species